GGGGGAUGAAGGACAGCAUGGUUCCUCUUCGGAUGAAGAAGCCAGGCCCACCAAACCAAAACCCAACCCGGCCAAACGCACCUCUUUGUCAGUGCUGCAACAGUAUCCCAAAUUCCCCCCCAGCAUCUUGCAAUACAUCGAGGAUUACUGGGUGCACUUGAAGAGCUGCACUGGUCAGAAGAAGCACCUAGAAAACCAGAAAUCCAAGUUAGGGCGCAUAAUGAACUUCCUCACAUUCAUGACAGAAGGGAGGACAAUCUUGAAAAAUUGGAUGUUUCUCCCGAACAUUAAGAGAAUAAACCAGUGGCCGGAAUUUCUUCUAAAUGAGGGAUUAGUAGAGACAACUGUGAGGGCCUACCUGGUCAACUUGUCACAGUUCCUGGCUUUUUUUAGGCACACCCCUCCCUCCGCAUCCAGGGUCCCUAAAACGGCCGUGUUCUUGGUGAUUUGAGCCGUGUCGUCUUGCAUUAGUAAGCUGAGGACACCCGUCGUCAUCCGACAGAUCCGCAUCAAGAAAAGAAAGAUGAGCAAGGCAAUCCCAAGAGAGCAUCUACAUCUGUGCAGUGUCCUUGCAAGAGCCAGGAUCCCCGAAAUUCUUGAUGAACUCUCAAAGGAUCCCAAGCCGCAGACCCGCAGAACCUUCUUUGGGUACCUCAGUGUCUACAUCGCCAGCCUGUAUGGUCACCGAACAGGUGUGUUAAAGAACAUGACAGUGGCAGAGGUAGACGAGGCCCAAAUGGAAGCCAAACCAGGGGAUGCUGGCUUUGUCAUUAAUGUGAAGGAGCACAAAACAAAUCGUGCCUUUGGGCCGGCACAACUCUAUCUAACAUUGGAAGAGUUUUCAUGGUUGGAGCAGUGGAUCAUCAUCAGGGGGAAAAUCAACCCUUCCUCAGACCUGGUGUUUUUCACAGAGAACAACACGAGAGUCGAAAAACUCAUUGGGCUGAUGCAGACUGCCUGGGCAGACAUGGGUUUGCCUGGAAUCCCUUCCUUCACAGAUUUUAGAACAU